UACGUAGGGGGCAAGCGUUGUCCGGAAUUAUUGGGCGUAAAGAGCGCGUAGGCGGUCCGGUAAGUCGGUUGUGAAAGUCGGGGGCUCAACCCUCGGAUGCCGAUCGAUACUGUCGGGCUAGAGUCCGGAAGAGGCGAGUGGAAUUCCUGGUGUAGCGGUGAAAUGCGUAGAGAUCCGGAGGAACACCAGAGGCGAAGGCGGCCUACUGGGUCAGUACUGACGCUGAGCCGCGAAAGCCAGGGGAGCGAACGGG
rnacentral:rRNA from 1 species